rnacentral:rRNA from 1 species
CUAUGAUUCCUACAGUAACGGCGAGUGAAGUAGGAAAAGCCCAUAGCCGAAUUCCGCUGUCCUCGACGGCAGCUGGAAGUUGUGGCGUUGGGAACUGCCUCCAUGUAACCGAUCGGCCGGGCUACGCAACUCCUCUUGAUUGUGGUUUGCCCAAAGCAGGUGAAAGGCCUGUUGUUCGUAGUCUCGUUUUGAAGGCCGGCGGUGAUGGCAGUCCUUAGAGUCGGGUUGUUUGGGAUUGCAGCCCAAAGUAGGUGGUAAACUCCACCUAAGGCUAAAUACGAUCGCGAGUCCGAUAGAGCACAAGUACCGUGAGGGACAGUUGAAAAGAACUUUGAAGAGAGAGUUCAAAGUACGUGAAACCGUUCAGAGGUAAACGGGUAGAAAGUCGAAUUGAAAGUCGACAAUCAAGCUGAAGCCAUGUCGGUGUUGGUUGGUAGUACGUUAAAGACUGCCAGCUGGCGCACAGGCAGGUUUUGGUUGUAUUUGUUGACUUUGGAUCGCCGCGACGGCAGUGACACUGACCGGCUGGCGUCUACUCCUCUGGUCGAUGUAGAUUCGUUUGAGUCUUUUAACGUCGGCACACGGGUGGGCGUCCCGCGUACAUGGCACAGUCGAUUUGUAUUGCAACCUAAGUGUUCCAUCUGGCUGUUCGUUCGUUUUGCGUCGGUGGACUGAUCUUAAAUAAGUUCAUCUGCUGACGUCAGGAUGGCGGCGGCUGGUUUAAUGACGGAACCAAUGUUGCAUUGGCGGCGUUUGACAACGAGUUGUCUACCUGACCCGUCUUGAAACACGGACCAAGGAGUCUAACCUGUGCGCGAGCCAUUGGGAUUUUUAUAUAAAACCUAAAGGCAAAGUGAAAGCAAAAAUGGUGAGAUCUGUCGUUUGUUUGUAACAGAAUAACGGCGGCGCAUCAUCGUCACGCCUCAACUCGGCUUCGGCUGAAGAGGCGCAGACAGAGCGCACAAGUUGGGACCCGAAAGAUGGUGAACUAUGCGAGGCGAGGUCGAAGCCAGAGGAAACUCUGGUGGAGGACUGUAGCGGUUCUAACGUGCAAAUUGAUCGUCGCAGCUUCGUAUAGGGGCGAAAGACUAAUCGAACCAUCUAGUAGCUGGUUCCCUCCGAAGUUUCCCUCAGGAUAGCUGGCACUUUCGGAGAGCAGUUUUGUCCGGUAAAGCGAAUGACUAGAGGCCUUGGGGACAUAACGACCUCAACCUAUUCUCAAACUUUGAAUGGGCAAGAAGAGGGACUCGCUUAAUUGGAGUCUUCUCAUGUGAAUGCUUGAGUGCCAAGUGGGCCAUUUUUGGUAAGCAGAACUGGCGCUGUGGGAUGAACCAAACGUUUAGCUAAGGCGCCAAAUGCUAACGCUCAUCUGAACCCAUUAAAGGUGUUGGUUGAUAGAGACAGCAGGACGGUGGCC